AUCAGGUAGGGGUACCCGCUGAACUUAAGCAUAU
rnacentral:rRNA from 1 species